CCAGCUGUAUACAUGAUGGAGGCUGAGGAUUGAGUGGAUGAUCAGGAGCUUCACUCUGAAUCCUGACCUCCUUCUUCUGCUUCAGUGGUUUCUGACUUCAUAAUUUGGUCACCAUGGCAACCAUAGAGAUGAUUGAGGUCCCUGACUUUCUGAGAAUCACGCUGAUGCUAAACAUCAGGCUGUUAACUGCAGAGCAUCAGGCCUUAUCUGUGGAUCCUCCCGACGGUUUCUCUCCCAACUCCUGGUAGGAGUUCAUGGAGGACUUCAGCUUCUUGCAGCUGCUCCUGCUGAUAGAUGUCAUUGCUGUCUUCUCCCUCUGCACUGGCUGCUACGUCUUCUUUGUUUCUGCUUUUCUCUUUGUCAUGACUGUGAAUCAGGCAGCUGUGCUGAAAAUAUGAUUGUUCUCCUUAUAAUAAAAGCUGGAAGCUGGAAGUCCUGCCUGUGCUGAGACAUUUUUUUCAUGCAUGAUCUUCACAGAAAUAAACAGCACAGGACAAAGGAAACUGUGGGUGAUGUCAUCUUUAGUUCA